GGAGGAGUGCGAGAGUGGCUGAAUCGGACGGUCUCGAAAACCGUUAUAGAAGUAAUUCUAUCGAGGGUUCGAAUCCCUCCUCCUCCGC
rnacentral:tRNA from 1 species